rnacentral:rRNA from 1 species
UACGAAGGGGGCUAGCGUUGCUCGGAAUCACUGGGCGUAAAGCGCACGUAGGCGGAUCUUUAAGUCAGGGGUGAAAUCCCAAGGCUCAACCUUGGAACUGCCUUUGAUACUGGGGAUCUCGAGUCCGGAAGAGGUUGGUGGAACUCCGAGUGUAGAGGUGAAAUUCGUAGAUAUUCGGAAGAACACCAGUGGCGAAGGCGGCCAACUGGUCCGGCACUGACGCUGAGGAGCGAAAGCCAGGGGAGCAAACGGG